AUACUUUUCAAUCCCAGAAGCCCACGGGAGAUCAAUACGUCAUCAUCGAACGUGAUGGAGAACAGCGACGCGGGUGUUUACAAAUUAUUGUAGAUAAACUGAGGAACAUUUGUGUUGAAUAAAAAAUGAGACACAUGCGUGUUUAUCCGGUGAAGAGUGACUGAUGGAGGAAUGCUGCCAUCAAAGGCUUUGAGGACCCCAAUCCCCCUGCAGCAGCUCGGAGUAAAGACACCGUGGAGACGACUGCGGAGAUCAAACCGGCAACCUUCUGCUGACCAGUUCAUUACACCACAAAAGUAAUGAAGCUAUAUCAAAAAUUUGCAUGUAAUUGUAAACAUAUGAAAUUUAAAUUUGUCAAGAAAUGGAAUGCUGACAACAUGAUAUGUAAAAUGUUUUGCUCUGUGUAAAUGUGUUACAGGUAGUUGUUCUCAUAGAGAGCAGGCACACAGAUGUUUGGAGCACACACAGCAGCAGCCAGAUUGUCCCGCACGCGUUCCUCUGCUCUUGUUCAAGAUUGUGUGGUUCAGGGAGCCUCAUCCUCUCUGUACUCUCAGACAAUGACAGUCUCGAUGUCCCUUUCUCAUCCAUGAUCAGAUUCAGUGUGACUGCAGCAGUGAGGGACGUGAUGGACGGCAGAGACAGGUGAAGGUGGACGCGGUGGUCAGCUGCUUCAUCAGAAUAAAGCUGCAGAACUGGACCAGCUGUGUUGAGAUGGCAGUAGGAUGUGGGCUCACCGUCUGUAAAUACACGAUUGUUAAAACAAUAUGUUUGUAUAAAGCUUUGUUUCAAGUGUUGUUGACUUGUAUUUAUUUAUUGUCAUGGUUACUUUUAUUUACAUUUUACUAAUUUAUUCAUGUUUCCUGUUGUUGUCAGUAAAUAAAAUAUAAUUGUUUCAUUAACACAUGCAUUAAUUCAUUACUUUUAUGAAAAUUGAGAUGUAUUCACUUUGGCUGCAUUUGUCUAGUGUGUGUAGUCAUGCAUAGCUAUGGCAUAUGAAAAAGCAAAUUACAUUUUGCUUGUUUUACUAAAAAAAAAAAAAUUAUUGGUCAGCAUUUAUCAUUAUUAUUGUUCAUAAGUGUUGGGCUACCACUGCUUUCUGAGGUAAUCUUAAUUUCUAAGUAGUAAUACUCACAUUUUUCGAUUGUAAAAUCAACAGUCUUCUCCAGAGAUGAGAUCUUCUGAGCUGAUCGACGUCUCGUUUGUGCAGAUAUUACAAACAUUGCAAACAUGGAGGAAAACGUACUAGGUAGGGUCGUGGAUUUAUAGAUGCUAUGAGGUGUUUGUGCGCCUGUUGCUCUUAUUUUCCUUUUAUUAUUAUUACUGAAGAACAUACAAGCUCAGGGAAAUAUGGUAGUAUCUUUAACAAUGAACAAUCAUAAUGACAAAAAAAAAAAAAGAAAACAUAACUAUAAUGGGUUUGCGUAUAUCGUAGUAUAAUAUUAUACACAGGGGAAAAAAAAGAUUGAAUAUCUUUGAAUAAUCAUAAAAUUCAUAUCAUAUAAUGCAUUAAAAUUGCAUUUGUUUUUGUUAUUUAUAAGCCUCAGGGAUGAAACGAGAGCGAUAUUCAACCAAAAAAAGACAAAGACAAAAAGAACAAUUUUGCACAUGAAAUUAAGAAAUUAAUAACAUAUUCAAGAGAUAACGAUUUAUAAUUUAUUUUUAAUAAAAAUAUCUUUAAGGAUUAAACUGUGGGUUAGUCUAUAUUAGUAGUUAAAAAUAUAAAAACUUCAAUCAAUCCCAAAUUUAUUGGUUAUAGCCUACUACAAUCAUAAGGGCAGCUGUUUCAUCAACAUCAAAAUUUACAGAUAGAUGAAUUAAACCUGUCGCUCAUAUCUUUUAAGUUUGUGUUUGCGUUUGUUAUAACGUCAUAAAUCACGUGAUAACGUAAACAUGGCGGACCGCAUUCAUACUCAACGAGAUUUGGCUGUAGAGUACGUACUCUUUUAGCGCUCGUUAAGUAAGUACUUCUUGAAAUUAAGUACCUACUCAUUGAGUAGGCGGUUUCGGAUGCAGCCUAUGUGAACUAUGCAAUAAGUCGUGGCCUAAUGGUUAGAGAGUCGGACUCGUAAUCCAAAGGUUGCGAGUUCGAGUCUCGGGCCGGCAGGGAUUGUAGGUGGGGGGGAGUGACUGUCCAGCGCUCUCUUCACCUCAAUACCACGACUGAGGUGCCCUUGAGCAAGGCACCGAACCCCCAACUCCCCGGAGCAGUGGGCAGCAUAAAUGGCUCCGCGUGUGUGUGUUCACUGCUGUGUGUGUGCACGUUGGAUGGGUUAAAUGCAGAGCACAAAUUCCGAGUAUGAGUCACCAUACUUUAAAAAGUGCUCCAAGGUCAGCGUCAACACGUCUAUGAUCCCACGCAUGUUUUGAUCCAAAACAAAACCCAGUCUCAAAAUGAACCUCAAUCAUCAGGCCUGGUCAUCCACUGCGGUCUAAAUGAUUAUAAUUAUGUUUUUGAUGCCGCAGAAAAUCACAUAAAAUCAUGCUCAUUCAAAUAUACCAACACAAUUACGUUAGCCGCAUUGGAGCUUAAUUAAACCACUUCAACCGUUUAAUGUCAAAACACAAGCUAAGGAAAACAUUUGGAAGAUAAGACUGGAGAUUUGCUGCACUUCAUCCUGAUACAUUCAGUUAUUAUAUUUACGUUAGCAGCCUGUCGUAGUUUAGGAGAGAUUACUUGUUGACAUGACUAGCUGUUACGUUAGCAACGCCAAACUAAAGGAUAAAAACCAUAACAACUUUGCGUUUUUUGACUUACAUAAACUGUCUCAGAUCUCUACUGGUCUAGCCUAGGUGCAAACAGACAAUACGUUUAAAAUAAAAUAAAAAAUAAGCCAAAAACACGGAUAUGAGAGAGU